rnacentral:tRNA from 1 species
UUGAUUUUAUUGGGCGAGAAGGGACUUAAAAUCCCUCGGACGGUAACGUCCAUGCCGGUUCAAGUCCGGCAGCCCGCACCA